GCACGUGUAGCUCAGCGGUAGAGCGCUUCGUUCACAUCGAAGAGGUCCAUGGUUCAAGCCCAUGCACGUGCA
rfam:Microgenomates (Woesebacteria) bacterium GW2011_GWA1_43_12 TV66_C0002, whole genome shotgun sequence.